rnacentral:rRNA from 1 species
GUCCUUAGUUACCAGCACGUUAUGGUGGGCACUCUAAGGAGACUGCCGGUGGACAAACCGGAGGAAGGUGGGGAUGACGUCAAGUCAUCAUGGCCCUUACGGCCUGGGCUACACACGUGCUACAAUGGUCGGCACAAAGGGUUGCCAAGCCGCGAGGUGGAGCUAAUCCCAUAAAACCGAUCGUAGUCCGGAUCGCAGUCUGCAACUCGACUGCGUGAAGUCGGAAUCGCUAGUAAUCGUGAAUCAGAAUGUCACGGUGAAUACGUUCCCGGGCCUU